CAAAACCAGCUCUCUACCUUCUCCUUCCUCAAAAGUCAAAAGAUAGCUCUCUGCCUUCUCCUUCCUCAAUCAAAACCCACCAUACCCACAAACCAACAGAGAUCUCCUUCCUCAGACCCUAUUUCUCCCGUUCCCCUUCUCCUUUCCUGUUCCACUCACAACCACCAUAACUCAGCAGACAGUAGCAGCACCACCACCUACAACAAUCACAACCCACAAACCACCAUAGUCAAACCAUAUCAAACCCACAACCGAAAAGCAAAAAAGCAUUUUGAAGAUCUGCGAUUGCAAAAUCUGGGGGAGUCCGAUUCUCGAUGAAUGCUGCGAAAGAGAGACAGGAGAAAAGUAACAUCGAUUGCGAAAUUUGGGGGAGUCCGAUUCUAGAGGAAUGCUGCGAAAGAGAGACAGGAAAAGAGUAACAUCGAGAUGGUAACUUCUAUAUGAACGUUGUUCUCUUCUCCUUUAAAUUAAUAAAAAUUUACUGACUCCAAUUGUUCUUGCUAAUUUCCUUUAGCUUGGGCAUGUAUACUAAUCUGAAAUAACAACUCAUAUGGUGUUCAAUGCACAGGGGAAAAUUUCAUGUAUUUUCCUACAAACUUUUCUAAAACCCGAUAAACUCUUCUCCAUAAUCCCAUGCUUACAAAGCUUUUCCUACUUCAUUUGUUCUUGACUUUCUAUCUUCUGGGUAUUAAAUUUUCAAGAUUGACCUGAAGAAUUGGGAUCCUUUUCUGAUGUUGGACUAUUUUUCAUGUAUGAAAAAUUCAAUCUAAUCUUUUUCAAAUUUCAAAUUUCUUUUAUUGAUAUUACUGACUCGCUGUUGAUCAAUAGGAAUUAGAAAAUUUAUGUUAGAGCUUUAUUAUUUGAAACUUAUUCCUCUUGGUUUCAUAAAAAAGGGAUUUUAGGGUUGAAUUGGACUUUGAUGGAACUGAUGGGGUUUGAUGGAACUGAUGUAACAGAGGGUUCUGAGAGGCUAACAGAAGCUAUAGGUGAUGAUUCUGAAGCUGUGAAUCCUGUGAUAUGUGCUAUUGGGUUUAAGCCUGGAUGGGAUUUGUUUGCUUCAUGGAAGGUUGAUAAUUUUGUAGGUUGAUUUUCAAACCACAUGCUCAUAUCUUUUGAUUUUCAUGAUGGAAAUAAUGGACUGUAUGUAAUUUAAAGUCUUUGGUUUUAUCUUUAAUGUGAGUUACUAAAUUCAAUUGUGGAUUAGUGAAACUAAAUAAUAUGAUUCCUAUUCUGUUAAGUGGACAUUUUCAUGUGGUGGGUCUUUGUUAUUGUCAAGGAAGUUAAUAAGUUAUUUUCUUUUUCAAGGCAUAUAAGCUACACUUUUGGGAGAUCUAGAGUAUCAUGGAAAAGAAAGAACGCUGCCAGGGGCCUAAAAACAACUUUCUAUUGCCCUUUGGGACCAUGAUUUAACUUUGUCUUGUGGUUGAAAAUGAGAUUACAUCAUACAAAGAUACAAUUGUGUACAACAAUGAAGAUUUUCAACCAGGAGAAGUGGAAGCAUAUAAGCAUAAACAAAUUAUUUUUGUAUAUAUUUGUAUGUAAGUUUUUGGUGUUAUAUUAUUGCAAUUUU